UGGGUUUUUAACGCACAGAUUUAAUCAUUUGGAUCAUAUAAAAACUUAUGUCUCAAUUGAAACCCUAGCCUCCCUCACAAUCAUCUCUACUGGAUUCAUCAUCUUCUCCAAACAAUUCAACAAGGAAGAGAGAUGUGAUCUUCAUCAUUGUCAUGGCUGGAGGACGGUUGCGACCACCGAUGGGAUCCCCAUCAAUGAUGUUACAGAUUCAGUGAUCUAAAAUCGUUAUUUCCACGAUUGUGAUACAGAAUUGAAGAACGGAUCAAUCUUUAUUUGUUAUUGAAACCCUAACUUUCGAAAAGCGAUUUUGAUUCCAUCGAUCUUGCCUAAAUCCCAUUUACGAUUUCUGGUUCAAGCUAUCUUUUCUAAACAAUUUUGAAAAUCGAAGGUAUGUUUUUUUGAUUUCUUCAUCAUCUAUUUUAGAUUUGUUUUGUGAUUCGUUCAUCUAGGAUAAUUCCAUUUGGUCUCAAUUGAUUGAUCUUCCGGUGUUUCGUGGCAAGUUUGUUUCUGGUAGGAUUGCAACGUUGAGUUCGGCUUUUGAAAAGGAUUGGAUGACAGAGGAGACAAUAGUUGAUGUUCCUUGGGAAUGGGCUAUUACCAGUGAACCAAAGUUGUGGAUGUGGAUUUGAUAAAAUUUUCAAAUAGAGAACUAGCCAUGGGAAUUUUAAAUGCUCUUAAUGGAAUAUAUAGAAUGAGAGUGAGAAAAUUCAAUUCCAUGUUAUAGUCAUGGAUUAUAUUGCAAUCGUUGUUGAUAUUCCUCCAUUUUCCUUCUUUUAUUUAGUUUAUACAUCUCAAUGUUAAAUCAAAUUAUAUAUUUAUUACUUUUAGAUUUUUUUUUUGUUUUCUUAAUUUGACCAGGGGAUCCUACAGUAUGUGGCCUUGUGUUUAAUCCUCUGAAGGCAUUGACUUCGAGCUCUUUGUUUUCUUUCAACGAGGGCAGCUCUUUACCAAAUAGUGUAAAGUGAUUAUAUGGCUCCUGAAGUUAUAAAACACAACUAUGGCUCAGAGGUUGAUGUAUGGAGUGCAUGAGCUAUCAUGUACAUUUUGAUUUGUGGUGGUUUGUCGUUUUGGGCAGAAUAAUGAUGGAUAAUGGUAGAAGGUGCCAAAACGAAAUCCAACAACAAAACAAGAAGGUUAGCGAAUUUUUAAUGCUGGUCGGAACAGUUUGUACCUUUGGUUGAUUUUGAUCGACAACUACCAACAAGUCCUUUUAGGCAUUGAUUUUGCGACAAGAUAGGCACCUUAAAAGAAAUUCAAAGAGUGUAUGACGGCUCAUGCUUGACAUUUUGAUCGUUAUCCUGAGACUAUAUGAGCCAACAAUUCGAUAUCGAUGAGAAUAUGCGAGUUGUGCUGAUUGACAGGCUCAUUGAGGUUUUCCAGUGAGUGUGGAUUUGCGCAAACAAAGUGCAUUUUGUAUAUUACUAGGUUAUAACCCGCGAACUUCGCGGGUAGAAAAAAUUACUUUAUAUUAAUCGAACUAUGUCAUUAAAUAAAAUAAAAAGACAUGUUUUCAAACGUAAUUUUGUUUUAUAAUUGUUUUGAAUUGAAAGUUGUAGUCAAUUAAGGUUGUUAGUAGGGUCAACAUUUUUGAACAAAAACAUAGAUCAAGUACCCUUUGAUAUUAAUGCUCAACUCUGUAAUAAGAUUUUAAAAAAUACGAUCAAUACGAAGGGUUUACAUCACGACAACGCAAACCCU